rnacentral:lncRNA from 1 species
CAUCAUCAUCAUGAGUCCUGAUCAUCAUCAUCAUCAUGAGUCCUGAUCAUCAUCACCAUGAGUCCUGAUCAUCAUCAUCAUCAUCAUGAGUCCUUAUCAUCAUCAUCAUCGAAGUCCUCAUCAU